CCUACGGGGGGCAGCAGUGAGGAAUAUUGGUCAAUGGGCGCGAGCCUGAACCAGCCAAGUAGCGUGAAGGAUGACUGCCCUACGGGUUGUAAACUUCUUUUAUAAGGGAAUAAAGUGAGGCACGUGUGCCUGUUUGUAUGUACUUUAUAAAUAAGAACCGCCUAAAUCCGUGGCAGCGGCCGCGGUAAUAAGGGGGGUUCGAGCGGUAUCCGGAUUUUUUGGGUUUAAAGGGAGUGUAGAUGGGUUUUUAAGGCAGUUGUGAAAGUUUGCGGCCAAACCGUAAAAUUGCAAUUGAGACUGGAGGUCUUGAGUACAGGUGAGGUAGGCGGAAUUCGUGGUGUAGCGGUGAAAUGCGUAGAUAUCACGAAGAACUCCGAUUGCGAAGGCAGCUUACUAAGCUGCCACUGACAUUGAGGCUCGAAAGUGUGGGUAUCAAACAGGAUUAGAUACCCGGGUAGUC
rnacentral:rRNA from 1 species